UACGUAGGGUGCAAGCGUUGUCCGGAAUUAUUGGGCGUAAAGAGCUCGUAGGCGGUUUGUCGCGUCGGCUGUGAAAUCCCGAGGCUCAACCUCGGGCCUGCAGUCGAUACGGGCAGACUAGAGUGCGGUAGGGGAGACUGGAAUUCCUGGUGUAGCGGUGAAAUGCGCAGAUAUCAGGAGGAACACCGGUGGCGAAGGCGGGUCUCUGGGCCGUAACUGACGCUGAGGAGCGAAAGCGUGGGGAGCGAACAGG
rnacentral:rRNA from 1 species